rnacentral:tRNA from 1 species
GUCUGUAGCUUAGUUGGUAAAGGGAGCAUUGUCCUAUGGGUCUGCAAUUAGCAGAGGUCAUGAGUUCGAUUCUCCCCCGAGACA